rnacentral:rRNA from 1 species
UCGCGGCCUAUCAGCUUGUUGGUGAGGUAACGGCUCACCAAGGCUUCGACGGGUAGCUGGUCUGAGAGGACGAUCAGCCACACUGGGACUGAGACACGGCCCAGACUCCUACGGGAGGCAGCAGUUAGGAAUCUUGCACAAUGGGGGAAACCCUGAUGCAGCGACGCCGCGUGCGGGACGAAGGCCCUCGGGUCGUAAACCGCUUUCAGCAGGAACGAAAUUGACGGUACCUGCAGAAGAAGCUCCGGCCAACUACGUGCCAGCAGCCGCGGUAAUACGUAGGGAGCGAGCGUUGUCCGGAUUCAUUGGGCGUAAAGAGCUCGUAGGCGGUUCGGUAAGUCGGGUGUGAAAUCUCCGUGCUCAACACGGAGCGGCCACCUGAUACUGCCGUGACUCGAGUCCGGUAGGGGAGUGUGGAAU